rnacentral:lncRNA from 1 species
GGAGCACCUUUCUCAAGGACAAGAAAUGGUAGCAACCAAAAGGUUGGUUGAAGGAAACAAUCCUUCCUUCUGGUGGUGUGAUCCCGGCUUCCUCACAGAGCCCUUUUUUCCUUCUGCCCAGCUCCAUCCCACCAGAGUUUCUACCCCCGCUGAGGCAUCUCCUGGGCACAGACCACCACACUCUAAGCCGGCUGGCCUGGGAGUUAGGGUCCUGCCCACCUCACCUGGGAGUUGGGGUCCUGCCCACCUGGAGUUUAGCACGCUGGUCGCUCACUUUGCUUUGGUC